CCUACGGGGGGCUGCAGUGAGGAAUAUUGGUCAAUGGGCGCGAGCCUGAACCAGCCAAGUAGCGUGAAGGAUGACUGCCCUACGGGUUGUAAACUUCUUUUAUAAAGGAAUAAAGUGAGGCACGUGUGCCUUUUUGUAUGUACUUUAUGAAUAAGGAUCGGCUAACUCCGUGCCAGCAGCCGCGGUAAUACGGAGGAUCCGAGCGUUAUCCGGAUUUAUUGGGUUUAAAGGGGGCGUAGAUGGGUUGUUAAGUCAGUUGUGAAAGUUUGCGGCUCAACCGUAAAAUUGCAAUUGAUACUGGCAGGCUUGAGUACAGUUGAGGUAGGCGGAAUUCGUGGUGUAGCGGUGAAAUGCUUAGAUAUCACGCAGAACUCCGAUUGCGAAGGCAGCUUACUAAACUGCAACUGACAUUGAUGCUCGAAAGUGUGGGUAUCAAACAGGAUUAGAUACCCGAGUAGUC
rnacentral:rRNA from 1 species